rnacentral:misc_RNA from 1 species
UCCUCGUUUAAGCGAGGCAGUCUGUCCAGAGUGCUCCCUUCUCUCGAAGGGAUGGCAACAGGACACAAGGGUUGCGCUCGUUGCGGGACUUAACCCAACAUCUCGCGACACGAGCUGACGACAGCCAUGCAGCACCUGUGCAUGCUGGUAUUGCUACCUCGUCGGACUUUCAUCCUCCUACUACAUGCAUGUCAAGGCCAGGUAAGGUUCUUCGCGUUGCAUCGAAUUAAGCCACAUACUCCACCGCUUGUGCGGGCCCCCGUCAAUUCCUUUGAGUUUCAACCUUGCGGCCGUACUUCCCAGGCGGAAUACUUAAUGCGUUAGCUGCGGCACUCAGGGGGUCAAUACCCCGAACACCUAGUGCCCAUCGUUUAUGGCGUGGACUAC